rnacentral:ncRNA from 1 species
GAGCCGUAUGCGGUGAGAGUCGCACGUACGGUAAGGAGGGGGUGGUAUUCCUUCUCGAGCUUCUAUUUCUUCCGUUAAGGGAGAUUCGGGAAAAGAGGAGCGACCUGUU